GUGCCAGCCGCCGCGGUAAUACCGGCAGCCCGAGUGAUGGCCGAUCUUAUUGGGCCUAAAGCGUCCGUAGCUGGCCGCGCAAGUCCAUCGGAAAAUCCACCCGCCCAACGGGUGGGCGUCCGGUGGAAACUGCGUGGCUUGGGACCGGAAGACUCGAGGGGUACGUCCGGGGUAGGAGUGAAAUCCCAUAAUCCUGGACGGACCGCCGGUGGCGAAAGCGCCUCGAGAGGACGGACCCGACGGUGAGGAACGAAAGCCAGGGUCUCGAACCGGAUUAGAUACCCCAGUAGUCC
rnacentral:rRNA from 1 species